UACGAAGGGAGCUAGCGUUGUUCGGAAUUACUGGGCGUAAAGGGCGCGUAGGCGGUUUCGAUAGUCAGGCGUGAAAUCCCCCAGGCUCAACCUGGGAAUUGCGCUUGAUACUGCGAGACUUGAGUGAGGGAGAGGAUAGUGGAAUUCCCAGUGUAGAGGUGAAAUUCGUAGAUAUUGGGAAGAACACCAGUGGCGAAGGCGGCUAUCUGGACCUCAACUGACGCUGAGGCGCGAAAGCGUGGGGAGCAAACAGGAUUAGAUACCCGCGUAGU
rnacentral:rRNA from 1 species